CAUGAGAGCAUGAGAAGACUCGACGUUAUAAGCCCAAUGUACCUCGUCAGAUCAACUGAAACUAUGAUACGGCGGAUCCGGGCCCCAUGUUAUUUAGUUAUUUUAGUUGUUAGGUCUGUAGAAAAAACGCAUAGUCCUCGUCAUUUUCCAUCAUUGCUUCAUACCGUACGUGUUUUGUUAUCGGUGAAAGAUCAUUUUCCAUUUAAGAUCUCAAUGCUCAAAGGUAAGGGAAGUCGAAAGCCAAGGUAUAUUGCAUGUGGAUAUCCAAAAAGAUCUCUUCAAAUUAAUCUCUUCACAUCUUAACAACCAACUGCUUAUGUCACAGUCACGUUCAACUUGAUACCCAUACAGGCCAUCUCCGCACAGAGCUAUGAGAUAAAAUCAGUCAUUGCAAGAAUAAGGAUGAUCAGUAUGUAGAGAUACUCACGUAUCGGAAGACAUCUGACAUUGGCAAGAACAAGAAGUGAAUGACGGUAAGCGGUGCGCCAUUGGUUAUUAAAUUGACACUCACAAGGAACCGGGACGACAUCCAUCCUUCCCUUCUUCUCUCCACCACGCAUGACAACACCAACACCCUUCUCUUUGCUCUUCUCCUCUGCAUGCUCAUGCUUAUGCUCAUCACAAAUCCUACAGUACUCCUGCAUACCCUGACCGCCACCAACUUCUUCGAAACCGAGCGAUACGAGUGAACCACAGUUCCUGCAGACCCAAGCAGUGGAGUAGUCGGAACAGUUCAUGAGUCGGUCUUGCAACAAGAAGGAAGUACCGUGCGCGAUAAGAGCAUCUCGUUCCAUUUCACCGAAUCGAAUACCACCAGCACGUUUUCGGCCCUGCAAAGAAAAAAUGUCUUUGGUCAGUAACUGACUACAUCAAAAAGUAUUGGGAACGACGAGAACUUGCCUUGACAGGUUGUCUAGUAAGAGGAUCAACUGGACCGGUUGUUCUAACCUGGAACUUGUCGUUCACCAUGUGCCUCAAACGUUGGUAAUAGACAAGACCAAGGUAGAUGUCGGCAUGGAAUUCUUCACCAGUGAUACCAGAGUACAUGGGUUCAUUACCGUAGUAAUUGUAACCAGCAGCUCGGAGCUGCUCGCCAAAGUAGUCAACAGGUCGGUCCUUGUCAGAGAACCUAAUAUCUCGUCAGCCCCUUUGCAAUAUGAUAGGGAAAAAGACUGGAGACUUACUUGAAAGGAGUAGCGUCCUGGGCAACACCGUGCAAAGCCCCCGCCUUACCGGCCAUACUCUCGACAAACAUACCGAUAGUCAUUCGCGAGGGGAAAGCGUGAGGGUUGAUAAUAACAUCUGGCUGCAUACCGCUCUCGCUGAACGGCAUAUCGAUCGCAGGGAACUUUUGGGAACAUACACCCUUCUGACCGUGUCGGGAAGAGAACUUGUCACCAAUGACGGGGGAACGGGGGAUACGGAGUUUGAUGUGGAUUUUCUGGAGCUCGGCAUCACCAGCAUCGGAACCGAGGACACGAACUUCGUCGAUGAAGGCAGUUUCAUCACCCUUGUACUUGUGGAACUUGGUUCGACCGGUGGUGUCGUCAAUAUAGGCACACAGAGGAUCACCAGUCUUGACCUUGGUACCAAUGAUGGGCAAACCGUCCUGGCUGAUAAUGUUCCUCGCAUCAUGGUCCUCCUUGACAUCCCUACCGAGACCAAAAUGCAAAGUAGGCUUGGCACUUCGGCUCGCUCCGGGCACACCCUUCAAGUCAAAGAUAUCGGCCUUGUAGACUGUACCGUAACCGAAACCUCGUUCGUGGGCAGACUUGUUCAAGAUCAUCGCGUCUUCCAUGUCAUAACCAGUGUAAGAAAUGACAGCAACUAUGGCGUUGGUACCGUUGGGGAAGUUGUCGAAACCGUAAUGGUUGUGAAGAUCGGGACGAACAACAGGGGUCUGACCAGAUUGGAGUCGGUACAUCUUGUUGUCGGUACGCUUGCUGAUAGCUGUUGAAGGAGUACCCAUCGACUGUUUAC
rnacentral:sRNA from 1 species